GUACGGUUAUACGGGGUUUAUACAACUUUGGAUAAUAUCCGAGUUCACCGAAUAAUAUUAUUUUCGUUAGCAACGACUCGUCAAAAUGUCGAAGGGAACAACUAUAAAAGAUGCUAUCGCCAAGUUCGAGGAAAAGGAAGGCUGCAAAGCAAGUGAAGCUGCACAUGUGGUCAUGUAUGCACAAAUUCCACCCAGUAGAAAAGAUGGAUGCAUCACUGUCAACAUUGGCAAAAUGCGAGUAAGUGUUCUUUCUCUUUAGGUGAC